CCUACGGGAGGCAGCAGUGAGGAAUAUUGGUCAAUGGGCGAGAGCCUGAACCAGCCAAGUCGCGUGAGGGAGUACUGCCCUAUGGGUUGUAAACCUCUUUUGUCGGGGAGCAAAAGCCGGACGUGUCCGGCUGUGAGAGUACCCGAAGAAAAAGCAUCGGCUAACUCCGUGCCAGCAGCCGCGGUAAUAGGGGGGAUGCGAGCGUUAUCCGGAUUUAUUGGGUUUAAAGGGUGCGCAGGCGGAUUUUUAAGUCAGCGGUAAAAUCGUGGGGCUCAACCCCAUCCAGCCGUUGAAACUGGGGAUCUAGAGUGUGCGAGAGGUAAGCGGAAUGCGUGGUGUAGCGGUGAAAUGCAUAGAUAUCACGCAGAACCCCGAUUGCGAAGGCAGCAUACCGGUGCACAACUGACGCUCAGGCACGAAAGCGUGGGUAUCGAACAGGAUUAGAUACCCCUGUAGUC
rnacentral:rRNA from 1 species